GCAAGUCUGGUGCCAGCAGCCGCGGUAAUUCCAGCUCCAAUAGCGUAUAUUAAAGUUGUUGCAGUUAAAAAGCUCGUAGUUGAAUUUCGGGGUUAGUAGGUUGGUCAUGCCUCUGGUAUGUACUGGUCUCACUGAUUCCUCCUUCCUUAUGAACCGUAAUGCCAUUAAUUUGGUGUUGCGGGGAAUUUGGACUGUUACUUUGAGAAAAUUAGAGUGUUUAAAGCAGGCUAACGCUUGAAUACAUUAGCAUGGAAUAAUGAAAUAGGACGUUCGAUCUUAUUUUGUUGGUUUCUAGGAUUGACGUAAUGAUUAAUAGGGAUAGUUGGGGGCAUUAGUAUUCAAUUGUCAGAGGUGAAAUUCUUGGAUUUAUUGAAGACUAACUACUGCGAAAGCAUUUGCCAAGGAUGUUUUCAUUAAUCAAGAACGAAAGUUAGGGGAUCGAAGACGAUCAGAUACCGUCGUAGUCUUAACCAUAAACUAUGCCGACUAGGGAUCGGAUGAUGUUAAUUUUUUAAUGACUCAUUCGGCGCCUUACGGGAAAC
rnacentral:rRNA from 1 species